rnacentral:rRNA from 1 species
UACGUAGGGUCCGAGCGUUGUCCGGAAUUACUGGGCGUAAAGAGCUCGUAGGUGGUUCGUCGCGUUGUUCGUGAAAACUCACAGCUCAACUGUGGGCGUGCGGGCGAUACGGGCAGACUAGAGUACUGCAGGGGAGGCUGGAAUUCCUGGUGUAGCGGUGGAAUGCGCAGAUAUCAGGAGGAACACCGGUGGCGAAGGCGGGUCUCUGGGCAGUAACUGACGCUGAGGAGCGAAAGCGUGGGGAGCGAACAGG